GGAGGAGGCCAGAAAGGAUGUCAUGUGGGGUACUACUUCAGUGAGUCCAUUUCAAUUACAGAUCUGAAGACGUUUCUUCAAAAUGGCAAAUAAGGUGAUUUAUGCAGAGUUACAACCUAGGGAGAGUGUACACUGCACUUCACAGACUGCAAAUGCAGGUGAUCAGAUAACCUACGCUGAGGUGAAAAAGAGGCGGAAAUCUGUCACACAGGACGGUACACCAAAGACCUCGCAUCAAAUAGCCUGCUCCGAGAACGCACAAUGGUGUUAUAUUGCCAUCGUCCUGUACUUCUUUGCAGUGAUUCUAUUCAUCACUGUGAUCCUCUUAGCAGUGAAAUGUUAACCUUGAGACAGAUGAUGUGGUUCUGCUGACAAAUGGGGAAAGUCAGAUCAGAAAGGCUCUGCUUCUUCAAUAAAACAAGACAAAAUGUUUACUAUUAUGUUAUUUCCUCUGCAUAGACUUCUAUGGAAGAAGACAUGCCGACAGUCUGGCCACUCUUCAGUUACUUCUUCCAGGAUUUUCACAAAACCUUUAACCUCUCUGUAUACGGGAAAAAAUAUAUUAUUGAUGUAAUAACACCAGCAACCACCACAUGGUAUCAGUGCAUGUAACAAGGUGCUAGCUCGAGCUACUGCAUCAUAAGUUGGAUCUUAGUGUUGUCUACACAACAGAAAUGAGCAGGAGGACCCAUUUGAAACAUCACUUCUAUUUCAACAACUUGAUUUUACAGUAAUCUGUCAUGUAGAUAAGCUUUUAGAUUUUGAUAUGAUCAAGUGCAAAAAUGAAUGUUUAAAAUAGAGAAUGUGAAUGGUUGCACUAAAUUUUUUUUAUGAGAUCCACACCUGUAUGUGAUUUUUAUUGUUCUGAUGGCUUUUGGUGAGAUUUAUAGGAGUGGGGUAUUGAAGAUGAAGGAAGUUCAUUAGUUCAUCAGAGAAGUCUUAGUCUCAUUUCCCCACAUGAAUAAAAUUAUUCUGUUUUGCUUGUCCAGAUGAGUGUCUCACAGAGCCACAGUAUGUUGGUUCUGUCUUGGAGCAGUAAUUCAUUUUUUGUUUCCAUUUUUUUUCCCACAAUGCAGUAGCUUCAGUUAAGUCAGAGUCCUUCACUAGAACUAAACCACCUCAGAUUCAAACAAAUAUGUUUGUAAUUAUUAUUUUGUUUUUCAUUAUUUUGAAUCCUCACCCAUUAUAAUUUCUCUGAGACAUGCUGAUAUCAGUGAUCUGCAGUUCCUGAAUAGAAGGGACCAUAUAGUAUAGCAAAUAUUUGUAGAAUCGUUCCCUAUUCCUAAGCUUAUCUUAGGCUGUGCUGUUGCUGUUGAUAAGUUUCUAUGUUUUUAUAAUAUGUUUGCCAGAAAUCAGUAAAGAAAUUUAGUAAAGCA